CCUACGGGAGGCAGCAGUGAGGAAUAUUGGUCAAUGGGCGGAAGCCUGAACCAGCCAAGUCGCGUGAGGGACUAAGGCCCUACGGGUCGUAAACCUCUUUUGCCGGGGAUCAGUGCCCAGCUCGCGAGCUGGGAGGGAGCGUACCCUGCGUAAAAGCAUCGGCUAACUCCGGUCCAGCAGCCGCGGUAAUAGGGGGGAUGCGGGCGUUAUCCGGUUUUAUUGGGUUUAAGGGGUGCGUAGGGGGACCUUCAGGCCGGCGGUAAAAUUCCGGGGCUCAACCCCGCCGAGCCGUCGGAACCGGGGGCCUUGAGUACCGGAGAAGUACGCGGAAUGCGUGGUGUAGCGGUGAAAUGCAUAGAUAUCACGCAGAACCCCGAUUGCGAAGGCAGCGUACCGGCCGGUCACUGACGCUGAGGCACGAAAGCGCGGGUAUCGAACAGGAUUAGAUACCCGAGUAGUC
rnacentral:rRNA from 1 species